UCCACAGGAGUGUCAAGAGAAAAAAUACCUGGAUCACUCAGGUGCCCUCUCCUCAGUUUUCCUCUGUCCAGGCUUGAAGAACUACAGCCAUUUCCAAGUUCUAAAAGGACAGCUAGGGGAGUUAUUUGUUUGUUUAUUUGUUUGCUUUGAUUUCAGAAAGAUGCAAACUCCAGGAUCUCUUGAGAGGCUGCCAGAGCCAGCAGCCCCAAGGAUACUUCAAACAGUGGGCAUUGGUGCAAUUCUAUAAAAAGAAACCAGAAACCAUUUAAAUGUGUGUCAGGAAGAAGCACUUCCAGAUGUUUGAGGAAAGAUGUAAGAUAGCAAGGUAUCGCCUGAAGCCCAGAUUUGGGAUCUAAGUCCUGUAUUUCAUACCUCAGGGCCUUUGCAUAUAUUUUUCCCUGGUCUUUUCACUGGACUAAACCCCACCCAUCAUCCAGGUCUCAGUCUAAAUGUCACUUCCUCUGAACAGUUAUCAUAAUGGAUCAUGAUACAUUGA